rnacentral:lncRNA from 1 species
GGUGCAACAGCCGGGCAAUCCCCAGCAACCAAUAUAUCCAGAACAACAUUAUAUGACCUAAAACUAGGUUCGCAACUAAAAACUUCCCUCAUAUCAAAAAGUAACCGCGUCGAUUGACCAGGUAAACCAUCUCUACCAUAAUGCCUCAUUAUAGUAAUAAAAAGUGACUCCUGUAAAACUACCCCGUCAUCUUUCAUCCGCAGCAACAAUCCAUCAAUCAACUUAAACUCCCUGGCCGCUCCAAGUUUAUUAAUCAAAGUACAAUACACAUCAAAUGUAUGAGUAUACCCCAUUUGAGUACCCGCCUUACGGAACAAAUCCAUAGAAGUAGGGACAUCAAGGGGGAGCUGAAGCAACUUAUUAAGCUGAUACGGUGUAAGUCGAUUAAGGGACUUUCGAAGCUGUUCAAUGUCAAAUGGUUCAAGCAAACUUUCCCAAUCUGUUUCAGGGGAUGACCCAUUCUUAUAAUCAGAAUUACCAACAACAUUUCCAUCAUCCCCAAUUGAACUACAAUAUGUAAAGAUUGGAUUUUUAUACAAAGAUUGAACCUUUUUGACAAAAUGACACCCAAGAUUCAAUCUUUUGAGCAUAACUCUUAUUGGGUAAUUGUAAACAAGCAAAAGCUAAGCAAACAACUGAUUGGCAUUACACAUACAUAAACUUUUCAGGGUUAUAAGCAAUUGUGUGUAUACAUGUAUGUAUAUGUGUAUAUAGAGUUGAAAAAUAUAUGAGAAACAGAGCCGAAUGAAGAGCUCUAACCUGGGAACAAGUGUUUGUAUUUGCUGCAAAAAGCUUCUGCACUACAGUGAGCAGCGGGUCGGGUCCAAAGUCAAAUUUUCAAAUCAAUUGGGUGUUUGUAUCUCAUGUAUGUGCAUGUCAGGCAAAUGUAUAUUUGACUUGUAAUCUUUUAGUCAAAAGACAUCCAUCUUUGCCCAAUUUACUUUAAGGAUCGCAUUAUUGAAAAAAUGGGAUAAGGAUCUAAAUACUCCCUCCAUCCCUUUUUAGUUGUCAUUGAUUUUGUACCAGUCAAAUUGACUAAAGUUUGACUAAAAUUUAUUAAUAUUUAAUCAAUUGACAAAAUAAAAAAACUGAAAAUAACUUUUAAUCUAUUUUAAAAUGUAAUUUUCAGUUUUUAAAAAUAAUGAGUAAGUGACUUAUAAUCAUUAGUCAAAACUUAAUCAAUUUAACCAACAAAAAUAGAAAUGUGACAACUAAAAAGGAACGAAGGGAUUAAUUAAAGCCUAUAAUUCAGGAACAUUUAAAUUAAUUAUCCCUAAAUAAAGGUUUUUUUUUCACAAAUAACCAAGUUUGGAAUUUUUUUGCGAAAAUACUAUAAUUUCUUUAAAAUUUGUAAAAAUACAAUAUUCCAAAUAAAAAUUAAAACAAUACCAUUUUCUAAAAAAAAAUUUACAAAAAUACAGAAGUUGCAUACUGCUAACAAUCGAAACCAAAAAUGCAAUUUUGAAAAAAUCUGUUAAAAAUUACAUUUGAUUCGUCACAACCGGUUUCAAAAGUUGUUAAAAUGAUCCUUGAGAAGUCGAUACUAACAUCACAAAAACAACAAAAAAAUCAACUAAAAACAACCAUAGAAUUAAUUGAAAGCAAUCAACGAUAAUGUAAAAGCCCGAUGGCCCUUCAAAAAAGACCUUACUUGGUAAAACUCUGGCUUUGGAGUAACCAAUAAGCACCACAUCAAUCUGAGCACAUAUGGAACUCAUAAAUGAGAGGCUCUGAUAUGUACUAGAAAAACUGGUUCACAAACAGUAAGGUAUACCAAGAACUCACAUUCUGAACGUAAGCACAGGCAUGUUCGGAUCAUCAGUUUGCGUAACUAGUACAUUAGCAAAGGCGUCCUUCACUAAUAUCUCAGAUAUGCAUAUAAAAGAGUAUACAUGUAUAAUAAAGAUACUAAACAAACUCAUCAACUAAAUAUUAGUGACCACAAAAACAUAUAAUUACACAACCACGAAAAAAAAGCGGAAACCAAAGAAAUAUCUGGAAGACAUGAUUCAAAGCUUUCUAACAAUUACAAAACUAAUCUUUAAAAUCUGUGAUGCAAAAAGUCUGGAUGAUGACCUUCCAACAGAGAUAGCUCACGUUGCCUCUCAUCAUUCAUGUCAAUGACAAUGUUAUGCAAGAUGCAGCAGGCCUUGGUCAUACUUUGAAGCUUUUCGGAUUUCAUUCCAGCUGUAAGAACCUUCCAUUCUUUCUUUAGCCUAUUAAAUGUCUCAGCACUCAUUCCCUCUUCAGGGGCAGAAGCAGGCCCACGGAGGUGGCGAUGGCCAUUUUCUGCCAAGACCUCCACAAAGGACCAUGUGACCUUAGCAGCGGUAAAUGAGUGCGUCCCAAUUUCACCACCAAUUGAAUUCAGCAACUUGCCCAAUUUUAGCCUUCUCAUAGCUAUGGCUACUUUAUCAACCACAGUUAAUUCCCUGUUAUCGUUAAAUUUAUAUAUUUGUGAAUUUGACAUAGGCUCCAUCACAAGAGAGCAUAAGUAUCUGAAGGUUCUCAUUGAGAUCCCGCAGUAUACUUCGACUCUAGUCGAGUCUUCCGCGAGAGGAAAAUGUCCUGCAAAGAAGAGAAGAAAAUGCAUUUUUAUACAUACGAUUAAGACACUGCCAUAAUGUGUUUAUCAGGCUUAAAACUUGAACAUAUUAGAUUAAUGUAUAACACCAUACUAUUCCAUUCAUUUCAGUAUACAUACACACAUCGACCUGUAAACUGUAUAAACAAAAUGAAGCUAGAAUGUCAAAAAUGUAAAUCAGUAAACUGCUUGUGAUUAACACACAGGGAUAUAUCGCUUUCAGUAAGGUUCCAAUCUGCAAAGAAUGCUACAGCUUUCAUAUCAAAUCAGAAUCAAUAUGAACUGAUUAUAAGUGGAUACUUUCGGUAUUCAUAGCAAGUUACAAGCUCCCAGGAAAACAUUAUAUCUACCAUAAUAUAGCUGUUUGACUGAACAAACCCUUACAAGAACUAAGUAAAUAACAACAUAUUCGAAAACAACAGAUUAGAUAUUGUUCCAAAGACUAAGACAACUGGAAGCAGUUUGACCUUAAUUACUAGUUUGACCUUGUGGAACUGGAAAUAGAAGUAUUUUGAAUAGCGACUUGCCUAAAAUCAAUCCCUUGCUACUUUGGAAAAAAAGCUAGUCCUGAAUUCUCACUGGUGACUUAUAGAUCAUAUAAUCAGAAGAUGAUUAUACUCGGUAUAGUUUGGAUUUACCUCAUAUUUUCUUCUAUGUAUGCACCAAUGUCAAAAUCUGAAAUGCUUUCUUUCCCAUAUUAUAGAGUAUAAACAAAGAAACUAAAAUAUCCACAAGAACUACAUACGAAUCACAUCACCUUCCUCAACUCCUUUCAAAUCUAAUGACUCUAAUCCCAUCAGCAAAAUUUAUAUACACAUAACAUAACUCCCAGAAUUAAAAUUUAAAUGUUUAUAUCUUCAUUGUACUAAGCAACAAUUAAAUUCUAGGUCAAAUAAGACUCCGAACCACAGACUGAGGAUUUAUUCAUUCUCCAUCUAAAGUAAUUUUCAAUAAAUCAAAAGACGAAUCAACUGGUCACAAAUUAGAAUUUCAUCAUACACAGAUGAACAAGCAAACAUAAAAUUACUUCGGGAAAAAAAAGGUAGUACAUACCAAACCAUAACGAAAUCGACAAGAACAAUUCAUCACCACCAAAUGAGAACUUAAGAAUUUGAAGAUUUACAUACCAGCAAUCCUCUUCACGAAUUCGGCAAACCAAAUAACGUAAUUCAAAGGGAAUUUGCCACGAUUAGCUUCACUUCUUUCCAUUCUUUUGUGGUUUGAGGAAUGGAGAUUGAUUUUCCUUACCACCGUACAAUAACUCUAAAGUUUGCGACUUUAAAGUUUGUUGGAACACAGAAGUAUAUAAAGAGUGAGAUGGAUGGGUCUGGGAUGACGUCAGCGCGUUGAUGGAGGUUAAAAGAAAUAGAAUAGUAUAAGGAGUAUGUUUGUAAAUACCUAGGUUGCACGGAGACGGGUACGGGAACAUAUACGGGUACGGGGACGGGGACAUAAAACGACAAUUUUAAAUUUAAAGGGUACGGGGACGGCACAUAAUAUAUUAAUAAAAAAUUAAAUUUUUUAUAUAAAUAGGACAGAUGCAACUUUCUCAAAUAUUAAUAUCACCGGAGAUCAACUCAUUCUCCAUUUCAGGCUCACAAAGGAGGUUGAUUGUUAGAUCCACUUCCACUUUCAGCAUGUCCAGAUCCAAAACCACUACUUUCAUGUUGUGAUUCCAUUGAAAACUAAUGAGUUAUGUUUAUUUGUUUGAGAGAGAAAGUAGUUUGAGAAGAGUUAUGAUUGUAUGCAUAUAUGAAGAACGUGUGUAUAAUGUAUAUAACUUGAAUAGAAGCCGUUGAGUUAGGGUUUUCUAUGUUAUGUUUAAUUGGGGACGGGUAUCUUUAUCAUUUUACUCCAAGAAACAUCCCCAAUUUUAACCUGCUGUCCCCAGCUUUUUGGGGACGUCCCCAAGCCGUCCCCAUGCCGUCCCCGUCCCCGAUACGUCCCCAAACUGCGGUACUCCACCUAGUAGGCGUCCCCGUGCAACAUAGGUAAAUACUGGGGGUGGGCUUCAUAUAUACAAAUUUAUCCUAAGGAAAUUGUAAUUGGGCAUAAAAUAAAUUUUAUUUCAAAGUUGUAGCUCAUAUAUGAAGUAAAAUAAAGUAAUUAAAAUAUACUCACUCCAUCCCAUAAAGCAUGAGCUAAUCAAUUUUACGCACAUUUAAAAAAUUUGAGUAUGACUAUUUGAUAUGUAUUCACAAAAGAUGAGUUAGUGAAUGAUGACUAAGCAUUUACGUGAACAUGUGGUUAUAGCUAUCUUAAAACAUACUAUGUGGGUGUUUGGGCGGGGCUUUUAAGCCCCACUUCUAGAGUUUUAAGUUAGAAGCACUUAUUCGUACCGUUUGUGUAAAAAGUCGAGAAACACUUAUAAAAAAGUUAGGAUUUUGUUUCAUGACUUCUACUUUUUUCCCAAACACUUUAAUCACUUAUAAGUCUUGACUAACUUCUACUUCACCUUUUUUUACUUUAAGCAGAAAACACUUAUUUUAAGUUCACCCAAACAGCCCCUAUAUAAAGUUAGGUACAUUCUUCUCGGGACAUCCUAAAAAAGAAAGUGGGCCAAACAAAAUGGGAGAGGAAGUAUUAUUUAAAUAUAAUUUAUAUUCAAAAUAUAGUUUCCAGUAUUUUAUUCAUUAUUAUGUAUUUCUCUUUGCCCAUUGCACUUCUUUUUGUUAAAACCAGAAAACAUUUGUUCAAUUUAGCUUGACCAUUUUACUAUUAUCAGUAUCUAUAUAGUAUAUUAUAUAAAUGAAAAUUUCCAUACAAUAUAUACAUAGCACUAUUUCCGGAAUCUAAUAUUUAGUGGUCACAAUCGUAAUGUGUCUAGUCAGUAGCUAACUAACAUAUUCAGUGGUGUCACGGAAGAAAUUUGCAACAUCCCACGUCACUAAGUUAUAUCAAUGCCUUUAUUAGCACAAACUUACAACUAAUAUUGUAUCGGAAUUGAUAGCUCUUUUGUAUCAACUUAUAGUUGGUUGUUGAAUGAUGUAGUAUGUGUGGCUUGGACUAUAACAAAUUUUGUUCGAGGUUGACCCUGCCAAAAGUGCUUUAAAGGACUUCUUUAGUUUUUGGGCUCGACGAGGACGUUGAACUUAUAUAAUGUGGAAAACUGUAGCAUCCCAUAGUUGGUAAGUCUGGACGCAUUUAUAAAUGUUGGAGAAAAGUCGCUAGCUCUUUUGGUUUGGUCUGUGGUGAGUUGUUGAACCAUCUCCUUCACUUUGGCUUGGGGUGAUACACAAUUAAUGUAUUAUAGAAUUUUGUUAUAAUUAUGUAUUUCUUUAUAUAUAUUCAAGUUGAUUGAAAUUAUUAAAUUAAAUGGUACGAUGUAUAAACCUUCAUAAGCUAUAACUUUAAUAUAAUAGACGUACUUGACUACGUCUAGACAUAUAAAUUUAUGACAAAAAUCUAAUUUAUUAUAAGACAUGAUUAUAAUAGAACCUCAAGUACAUAGAUCCGCCAAUUUGGUAUACAACAGAAAAAAAAUGACACGAGAAAUAUGGAUAUGGAUUCACCAUUUUGUUAUACGAAUACGAAAGUAUACAGUUAUAAAAUUGGACCUUUAGGAAAAUCCCUUUAUAUUUUGAUGUGUUCAGGUCAGAACUCUCAGGUGCAUUGCCUAAAUGCACAUAAGUUUUGACCUGAACACGUCAAAAUAUAGAGGGAUAUUUCUAAUGGUCCAUUUUAUGAUCGGGUACUUUCGUAUUCGUAUAUCGAAAUGGUAAUCUUUAUCCAUAUUUUUCGUGUCAUUUUCCUUUUGUGUUGUCUAGCAAAUUAAUGGCUUUAUGUAUUUUCGGUUUUUAUUAUAAUUAUGUCUUCUAAAUAAUUAUAUUUUUUUCUCAUAAAUUGAUAUGUGUAGUCAAGCAGGUCUACUAUAUUAAUGUAGUAGCUUCAGAAGGUUAAUACAUUUUAUUAUUUAACUUAAAUAAUUUUUCACUCAACUUGAACUUAUAUAUAUAUGUAUGUAUGCAUGUAUGUAUGUAUCUUUGUGUGUAAUUACAAUAAAAUUAUAUAAUACAUUAAUUGUAUAACACCCUAAUCCUACGAGAAACAAAUGGUUCAACAACUCACCACAGAGCAAUCCAAAAAAGCUAGCGACUUUGCUACAACGUUUAUAAAAGCGUCCAAACUUACCUACCGUAGGAUGUUAUAGUUUUUCCACACAAUUAGUUUGACGUCCUCGUGGGGCCCAAACGCCGAAGAUAUUUUGUGAAGCACUUUUGGCAGGGUCAAGCUCUGACAAAAUCCAUUACAGUCCAAGCUAAUAUACUACAUCAUUCAACAACCCACUAUAAGCUGAUCCAAAAGAGAUAUCAAUCCCGGUGCAGUAUUAGUUAUAAGAAGCUUUCUAAAAGUCGGCGUUUAAUCGGGAUUAAUUGUUGUUCGGUCGGCCACAGUCUCGAUUAAGCGUUAAUCAGUGAAAAAAUCAUUUUUUCCUCAAAAUCGGUCAAAAACGAGAUUAACCGGUUAAAAGACGGGAUUAAUCCGAAAAAAUUGGUGUAUUUAAAAAUUUUAAAAAUACAAAGUAAUUUUUUUAAAAAUUAUAAAUUAUUUUCUAAUAAAAUGAAAGGCACAAUGACAAUCAUAGAAGUUAAAAUUGUUUUAUUUACCUUUCACUUUUCAAAUAUUAGCCUCUAAACUCUAAUUACAAAAAUCUUCAAAAUCUUCCUUCGUAGAUUUAAUCAAAUUCAAAUUUAUAUAUGAGAUGAUUGGACUUGUAUGUAUAUAUAGGAACGUUUUGUGUAAUAAAAAAUCAUUAAUCUUUCAAUUUUAUAAGACUAUAAAUUUAUAGUAUAUAUAAUUAUAUUAAUAUAUAUAUAAUUUAAAAAAUAAUAUUAAAUUGAUUACUAUUAAUGCUCCAAUUAAUCACUCUGAUUAAUCCAUGAUUAUCCGAUUAAUCGUUGGACAGUGGCUUCACCGACUACGUCCGAUUCCCGCUUUUAACAACACUGGUUAUAAGUUGUGCUCAUAAAGGCAUUAAUAUAACAUCCCUAACUUAGUGACAUGGGAUGUAACAAACUUUCUCAGUGACACCGCAAAAUAUGUUACUUAGCUCUUGUGAUUCCUAUAUAGCCCUUAUGGAUAUUUUAAUUUCCUUUUUUGUACUUCGUAAUACGGGAAAGAAAGUAGUUCCGAUUUUGGCAUUGGGGCUUACAUAAAAGAAAAUAUGAGGCAAAUCCAAACUAUACCGAGUAUAAUCAUCUUCCGAUUAUAUGAUUUUCGAAAUCCUUUUUCCUUUAGGUAAAAAAGGUAAAUUUAUUAAAUGACGAUGUUUAGGAUAAAGUCAUGCAUCAUUGAGAAACAUUGGCACUUGAUAACAUUAUUGGUGAAAUUAUUUGUUUUCCCAUUUUAUGUGAAUAAGAUGCAUUUAUAAAUCACCAAUGAGAAUUCAUGACUAAGUUUUACUCCAAGGUAGCAAAGGAUUGAUUUUAGGUAAGUCACCAUUUAACAUACUUCUAUUUGUAUAGGAUGUAAGGAACGGAAUGGUGGAAGGAAUGAAAUUUUUGAACAACUUUUCAUAAUAUAGUUCAAAUUUCAUUCCAUUCCUUCGAGAUUCAUUCACCCAACCAAACACAAUAUUAUAGACAACUUCACGAAUUUAAAUGGCUUUGUACUGAAGUACUAUAUAAGAUAGGCACCUCUGAUCUUAGUAAUAUGUUGCACGAAAGAAAGAUAACAUAUCAGUAUAUACCACAGAUCACCAACUUUGUACCUGACAGAAACAGAGAGUAAUUGAAGUAAACCUGCCAAGUUUACUUGAGCAGCUCCAGUUAUCCAUCAUCUUCCUGUGGAGUACUGUAAUAACAAACAGUGUCAUUCAAAAAGUAUAUUUGGAAAAACUUGUAAUAAAUCCUAUCAAUUAAGCACAAGAAACAGAUGUUUCUAAACAUAAUUGGGUGGCACUUUAUAUUACAUGGACUCAAUGUAAUAACUAACAAAAAUUAUAUAACUCCAUCACAAGGAUGUAGGACACAAUAUGCUAGUGUCUGAGUUAACUUUAUUUGCAACAGAUAUUCUGCACUGUUUCACACAGUGAACAUGAUUAAUCCCACCAAAAAAGUACCUGUGUUCUAAAUAAAGAACUUAGAGAAUUUCAGACAAUGAUACAAAAGUUCUGCUUUUCUUGCUGAGGCUUCAACUUUGUUCACAUUGUAAUUACAUAAGUGAAUAUAUAAAUUCUCCAUCCAUUACCUAGUACCUACUCUGCAUGAGUUUCUGUAAAUGCUUUGCCGAUUCACAUCUGGAGUUCCAAUCAACGCCGUCUGAACAAACAAAUCAGACCCAAAACCUCUGAUCAUCAGUAUCUAAAGUAUCCGGUGGUUGGGGACUUGUUUCAAGCAGGUGGCGGGAAUACGAGAUCUCAUCAGUGACCUAAUAGCUUGGUUAGGAAAACAACGUUGAUAUCUGAAGCGGCUUUGACGAUUAAAGCAGGGAUUUGGAGAAAAUGGUUGUGGGCAGUAAUUACUUUAUGAUUAGUUUAUAGAUUCUAUGAAAAAAAAUUGAAUCCACGUAUUUUUUGCACCCAAAUUUUUUUGCCAAAGACAAGUGUUCUACGUUAAGGUAGAGAACCUGCAUAGAUGAUUGACAAGAUUGAAUUUGGAGCCGGAAAGGUUUGUUCAACUUAUUAAAGAGGGUCUUGUCAUUCUUGAUCAUAAGUUCGACUGGGGAGGGAUGGUUGUAUGCUCUUGGUCAUAGUCAUAUAGGUUCGAUUUCCGAAAGCAGAAGAAUAGCCGGUUCACAUGGAUUUAUCCCGUGCAUACCCAAAAGAUAGCGGCUGCUACUUCUUCCGUUAAAAAAAAAAUAUUCUGGAACCCAAAUUUCAUAAUCAAAGAUAACUUCGAAUGAGUAGUACACACAAUUAAUUUUAAUUUUUUAAACAUAUUUUAUGAUAAUUUAUUGCGUCUUCUAAGUUCUAAUUUCACAUUCAUCUCGAACAACAAUUUCAAAUUUUUGUCAAAUCAGAAUCAACAUUAACAUCAUAUCUUCCCUGAAGAUUAUUUUUUGCAACUUCAUGGGUUUAUAUCAUGGGUAUAUGACUGAAUUGGUUUCAGCCGCAUUGCUUGUUAAUGAACCUCGUUGAAUUGAUUUAUAUCAUCAACCCAUGAAGUUUCAUCAUCUAAACUGAAGCGCCCACAAGUUUCCUCAUUUCUUUCUAUCCAUAUUCCCCAUGUUAUAACCACUACAUUAGCAAAGGUGUCCUUUUCUAACAUCUCAGAUAUACAUAUAAAAGAGUACACAUGUAAAACAAAAAUACUAAACAAACGCAUGAACUAAAAAUUAAUUACUACAAAAAUAAAUAAUUACACAAAAUACAAAUAAAAAAGCAGAAACCAAAUAAAUAUUCGGAAGAGAUGAUUCAAAACUUUUUUGUCAAUUACAAAACUAAUUUUUCUGAGUCAUAAAGCCUGGAUGAUGACCUUGUGACAGACAUAGCUAACGAUGCCUCUCAUCAUUCAUGUCAAUGACAAUCUUAUGCAAGAUGCGGCAAGCCGUGGUCAUAUUUUGACGCUUCUCUUGUAAGAACCUUCCGUUCUUCCUCUAGCCUAUCCACUGCCUCAGCAGUCCUUAUUUCCUUAGUGGCAGUGGCUGGCCCAUGGAGGUGGCGAAGGCCAUUUUCUACCAAGGCCUCCACAAAGGACCGUGUGACCUUAUCAGCAGUAAAUGAGUGCUUACCAAUUUCCUUACCGAUUGAGUUCAGUGACUUGCCAAAUUUAAGCCUUCUCAUCGCUAUGGCUACUUUAUCAACCACGGUCAAUUCUCUGUUAUCGUUAAAUUUGCAUAUGUGUGAAUUGGACAUUGGCUCCAUCACAAGAGAGCAUAAGUAUACGAAGGUUCUCAUUGAGAUCCCACAGUAUUUUUCGACUCCAGUCGAGUCUUCCGAGAGGAAAAUGUCCUGCAAAGAAGGGAAGAUGAUGCAUUUUUAUAUAUACGACUAAGAAACUGCCAUAAUGUGUUUAUCAUGCUUAAAACUUGAACAUAUCAGAUUAAUUCAAAACACCAUACUAGUCCAUUCAUUUCAGUAUACAUACACAUAUUGACCUGUGAACUGUAUAAAACAAAAUGAAGCUAGAAUGUCAAAAAUGUAAAUCAGUAAACUGCUUUUGAUUAACACACAGGGAAUAUCACAUUCAGUAAGGUUCCAAUCUGCAAAGAAUGCUACAGCUUCCAUAUCAAAAUAUCAAAUCAGAAUCAAUAUGAACUGAUUAUAAGUGGAUACUUUCGGUGUUCCAAAGACUAAGACAACUGGAAGCAGUUUGACCUUAAUUACUAGUUUGACCUUGUGGAACUGGUAACAGAAGUAUUUUAAAUGGCGAUUUACCUAAAAUCAAUCCCUUGCUACUUUGGAAAAAAAAGCUAGUCCUGAAUUCUCACCGGAUAUUUACAAAUCACAUGAUCAGAAGAUGAUUAUACUCACUAUAGUUUGGAUUUAACUCAUAUUUUUUUUCUAUGUAUGCCCCAAUGCCAAUUUCUGAACUGCUUUUUUUUUUUUUUUUUCCAUAUAGAAGAGUAUAACCAAAGAAACUAAGAUAUCCACAAGAACUACAUAGGAAUCACGUCAACUUCCUCAACUCCCUGCAAAUCUCAGGACUCUAAUCCCAUCAGCAAAAUUUAUGCUCCCUCCGUCCCAUAUAAUUCUAUACACUUCCAUCUUUUGGAUGUCCCACCCAAUUCUAUACAUUUCAAAAAUUUCUUAAAACAGUAAACUUUUAUAAAUGAAAAACCCACUCACCCACUACUUUUUCAAAUCUAUCAAUUUUAUAUUGAUGGGACCCACUAAUUUACGCACUAUUCUUUCUCUUCUCAUUAUUUAAUAUUAUUUUUAUACACUUUUCUUAGUCUCCGCGCCCAAUCCAUAUGUAUACUUCCUCGAGGGAGUAUACACAUUACAUAACUCCCAGAAUUAAAAUUUAAAUGUUUAUAUCUUCAUUGUACUAAGCGACAAUUAAAUUCUAGGUCAAAUAAGACUCCGAACCACAGAUUGAGGAUUUAUUCAUUCUCUAUCUAAAGUAAUUUUUAAUAAAUUAAAAGAUACAUCAACUAGUCACAAAUCAAAAUUUCAGCAAACACAGAUCAACAAACAAACGUUACUUCCUUAAAAGAAAGGUAGUACAUACAAACGAUAACGAAAUCGACAAGAACAAUUCAUCACCGCCAAAUGAGAACUUAAUUAUACACGAGAAUGUUAAGAUUUACAUACCAGCAAUCCUCUUCACGAAUUCGGCAAACCAAAUAACGUAAUUUGCCACUAUUAGCUUCACUUCUUUCCAUUCUCUUGAAGCAAAGUUCUUAAAAACUUAAAAGGAGAUAAAAAGAAAGUGGUUCGAGGAAUGGAGAUUGAUUUUCCUUACCACCGUACAAUAACUCUAAAGUUUGCGACUUUAAAGUUUGUUGAAACACAAAAGUAUAUAAAGAGUGAGAUGGAUGAGUCUGGGGUGACGUCAGCGUGUUGACGUAGCUUAAAGAAAAUAGAAUAGUAAAAGCAGGAUUAUGUUUGUGAAUACCGGGGGUGGGCUUCAUAUAUACAAAUUUAUCCUUGGGAAAUUGUAGUUGGGCAUAAAAAAAUGUUAUUUCAAAGUUGUAGCUCAUAUAUGAAGUAAAAUAAAGUAAUUAAAAUAUACUCACUCCAUCCCAUAAAGUAUGAGCUAAUCAAUUUUACGCACAUUUCAGAAAUUUGAGUAUGACUAUCCGAUAUGUAUUUGCAUUCACAAAAAGAUGAGUUAGUGGAUGAUGACUAAGCAUUUACUUGAAUAUGUGGUUAUAGCUGCUUAGUCAUUAUCCACUAACUCAUCUUUUUGUGAAUGCAAAUACAUAUCAAUAGUCAUACUCAAAUUUCUUAAAUGUGCGUAAAAUUGAUUAGUUCAUGCUUUAUGGGAUGGAGUUAGUAUAUUUUGAUUAGUUUAUUUUACUUCAUAUAUGAGCUACAACUUUAAAAUAACAUUUUUAUGCCCAAUUACAAUUUCCUAAGGAUAAAUUUGUAUAUAUGAAGCCCACCCCAGUAUUCACAAACAUACUCCUACUUUUACUAUUCUAUUUUCUUUAACCUCCGUCAACACGUUGACGUUACCCCAGAAUCAUCCAUCUCACUCUUUAUAUACUUUUGUGUUCCAACAAACUUUAAAGUCGCAAACUUUAGAGUUAUUAUACGCUGGUAAGGAAAAUCAAUCUCCAUUCUUCAAACCACUUUCUUUUUAUAUCCUUUUAAUUUUAAGAACUUUACUCUUAGAGAGUGGAAAGAAGUGGAACCGAAUGUGGCAAAUUCCCUCUGAAUUACGUUAUUUGGUUUGCCGAAUUUGUGAAGAGGAUUGUUGGUAUGUAAAUCUUCCAAUUUUCAUGUAUAUUAAGUUAUUCUCAUGAAGUGGUGAUGAACUCUUCUUGUCGAUUUCGUUAUGAUUUAGCAUGUAUUACUUUUUCUUUUCCGAAGUAAUUUUAUCUUUGCUUGUUCAUCUGUGUUUAAUGAAAUUUUAAUUUGUGACUAGUUGAUUUGUCUUUUGAUUUAUCGAAAAUUACUUUAAAUAGAAAAUGAAUAAAUCCACAAUCUGUGGUUUGGAGUCUUAUUUGGCCUAAAGUUUAAUUGUCGUUUAGUACAAUGAAGAUAUAAAGAUUUAAAUUUUAAUUAUGGGAGUCAUGUAAUGUAUUUAAAUUGUGCUGAUGGGAUUAGAGUCUUAAGAUUUGCAAGGAGUUGAGGAAGUUCAUGUGAUUCCUAUGUAGUUGUUGUGGAUAUCUUAGUAAACGACAAUGAAGAUAUAAAGAUUUAAAUUUUAAUUAUGGGAGUCAUGUAAUGUAUUUAAAUUGUGCUGAUGGGAUUAGAGUCUUACGAUUUGCAAGGAGUUAAGGAAGUUGAUGUGAUUCCUAUGUAGUUGUUGUAGAUAUCUUAGUUUCUUUGAUUAUACUCUUUAAUAUUGGGGAAAAAAGCAGUUCAAAUAUUGGCAUUGAGGCAUAAAUAGAAAAAAAAUGAGUUUAAUCCAAACUAUAGUGAGUAUAAUCAUCUUCUGAUUAUAUGAUUUGUAAAUCACCAGUUAUGAUUACUACUCGGUAUAUUUUGGAUUUACUCAUAUUUUCUUCUAUACAUGCCCACGAACUACUUUAUUUCCUGUAUUACGGAGCACAAACAAAGAAAGUAAAAUAUCCACAAAAGCCACAUAGGAAUCGCAUCAAGUUCCUCAACUCUUUGCAAAUCUUAUAACUCUAACCCCAAUAGCACUUUAAAUAAAUUACAUGACUCCCGGAUUUAAAAGUUGAAUGUUUAUAUCUUCAUUUGUACUAAGCGAAAAUUAAAUUCUAGGUCAAAUAAGAUUCCGACACUGUAGGUCGGGGAUUUAAACAUUCCCUAUCUACACUCAUUUUUAGUAAAUCAAAUUACAAACCAACUAGUUCCGAAUUAUAAUAUCAUCAAACACAAAUGAACAAGCAAACAUAAAAUUACUUUGCAAAAACAACAGGUAGCUCAUACCAAACCAUAACGAAAUCGACAGGAACAGUUCAGCACCACCAAAUCAGAACUUAAUAUACAUGAGAAUUUGAAGAUUACAUACCAGCAAUCCUCUUCACGUAUUGGGAAUACCAAAUAACGUAAUUCACAUCAGGGAAUUCUCCAAUAUUUGCUUCACUGCUUUCCAUUCUCUUAAAUCAAAGUUCCUAAAGACUUCAAAUUAAAAAGAGAUAAAAAGAAAGUGGUUUACGACUUUAAAGUUUGUUGGAACACAAAAGUAUAUAAAAAGUAUAUGUGUUCUAAAGCAAGAACUUAGAGAAUUUCAGACAAUUAUACAAAAGUUCUGCUUUUCUUGCUGAGGCUUCAACUUUGUUUACAUAGUAAUUAUGUAAGUGAAUAUAUAAUUUUCUCCAUCCAUUACCUAGUACCUACUCUCCAUGAGUUUCUGUAAAUGCUUUGCCGAUUCACAUCUGGGGUUUACAAUUACGAGCCCAGAGUAUCUCCCGUACAUUUCAAUCAACGCCGUAUGAACAAACAAAUCAGACCCAAAACCUCUAAUCAUCAGUAUCUAAAGUAUCUGGUUGGGGACUUGUGUCAAACAGGUGGCGGGCAUACGAGACCUCAUCAGUGACCCGUGAAAACAUUUUACUAGCUAUGUUAGGGUAACAUCUAAAGUGGUUUUGAGGAUAAGCAGAGAUUUGGAGAAGAUGAUUGCGGGAGAUGAGUGUUCUCAGGGUUGAAUGUAUCGGCGUUCCUCACGAAGAUCCCGUUUAAUAUUUGAAACAUAUUUUCAGUAUUUGGGGAUAACAUUCUUGAUUUUUUUUAAAUCAAUGACAUAUUGAAAAAAUUCUCAUGAAUUGAGGUGUAUUUUAUUCGAAUUUUAAUAGUCUGAUUUUAAAAGAUUGUAUGUAAUUUUAAAUUACGCGAAUUUUUGAAAAAAUGUUGCAGAAUUGAUAUAGAUUAUUUAAAAUUUAAGUACAAUAUUUCAAAAUCUCAUGGAUUUUGGUGGGAUUUCAAAAAAAUUAAAAUUCACUCAAAAAUCUCGCAAAAUCCAUCAUUUUAUGAAAUCCAUAAAAAUCCAAUAGUAUUUGUAUAUCAUUUGAAUUUUAAACAAUCCAAAUUAAAUGAAAAAAAGCCCUAAAUAACUGAAUUUUUGAGUUUAAUGCCCCGUAGAACAAAAUUUGAAAAAGUGGCCCCAGUUGACAUGUGAAAACACUUAAAAUUGCCCGCAAGGGUUGGUUCAGCUGGUUAAAGAGGGGACAAGUAUCCUCUUGAUCACUGGUUCGACUCCCGAAGGGAGCACGUAGUUUGCAGGCUAUUGCGUGGGUUUACCCAGUGCGCACCCCCGAAGUGUAGCGGCUGUGGGUUCCUACGUUAAAGUUUGCAGGCUCGCAUAGGUUUACGGGUUUUCUCUUUUCUUCUUUUAUUAAACCUUUUCAAACUUCACAGUUUACAUAAGUAAAGUUAACAUUGAGUACACUGAGUAGACGAAGUACAGAGAAAACAGGUUGCGGGUUGCGGGUUGGGUCAAGCUAAUAUAAAGAAAAAUCAAUUGAGAUGAUGGAUUAUAAUGUAAGUUUUACAUUCUUUUGAAGAAUUGCAAUUCAAUUUAUAUAUAUUUUCAAUGUAUAUGUUCUAUGUGUUUGUUAAAGUGUCUAUGAUGAUUUACAUAUGAAGCAGUGGUUAGAAAUAGCUAGUAUUAUUUCUAAUUGAGUUGUAGUCACAUAUUACCAGUUAAGUUCGAGUUAUGUAAUGCAUAUUUGGAGCUUAAUUUUAGAAUUUGAAGCUUAUCUAUUACUUUACUAUGAGAAAUCUGCUUAGGUUAUCCAUGUGUAUGAAGAAUACGUAAGUUUAGGACCAAUAUAAUUGGAAAUGGCACUAGUUUAGGAGCAUCUUCUACCUGAUCAACCCUACAGAGCCCACAUAUCAGAGAAUUGAAAGUGAACAUAUCUGGUUUACAUCCUCCGUUUACCAUGUCAGCGUAUAGUUCCAGAGCCUCCUUAACCUUCUCAUCCUUAGCUAAAGCAUUUAUCAGGCAGUUGUAUCCAACAGUGUUUAAGCGGAUCCCCAAUGCUGACAUUUCACGGACAGCUUCUUCUGCUUCCUUCAAUCUGCCGACCUUGCAGAACCCGUUGAUCAAACUCGUGUAUGUUAUUAGGUUGGGCUUGCAACCCAUAAUUUCCAUCUCUUUCAUCAAAUUUCGUGCUAAAGAAAAAGAUUUUCUCGAACAUAGACCACGGAUGAUUAUGUUAUAUGUAUAGAUAUCUGGAUUGCAACCAACAGCGGGCAUCCCCUGCCUCAAAACAGCAUUGGCAUCAUCAAACUGUCCAUUGGCCACAUAACCAUUAAUCAAAGUAUUGAACAAAACAACAUUAGGCUCGGGCACUCUCUCCAGAAUAGCUCUAGCUUUAUCAACUUGACCAGUUCGGCAUAAUCCAUCCAUUAAAAUUCCUUAAGUAAACUUGCUAGGAGUGAAGCCUCAGAGAAGCAUUCUAUCGACCAAUUUAGCACCUUCAGGUAUCCUCUUAGCACGGCAAAGACCAUGAAUAACAUCAUUAAAAGUAUCAACAUCAGGUGUGCAACCCAUCAGAAACAUUUCCUCCAAAUAUCUUAUCACGUCAUUUAUUCUGUUCACCUUACAAAGCGCAUGUAUAAGUGUCUGGUAAAUAACUGAAUUCGGCACACACCCAUGUUCUGUCAUAUCUCUUAAAAGUGAACAUGCAGAAUCCACCUCAUUAACCAUACAAAGCACUUUCAUCACCACACCGAACGUUAAAACAGUUGGAGAAAUCCCCUUGUGCAACAUCUCAUAAAAAAUAUUCGGUGCAACAGCCGGGCAAUCCCCAGCAACCAAUAUAUCCAGAACAACAUUAUAAGACCUAAAACUAGGUUCGCAACUAAAAACAUCCCUCAUAUCAAAAAGUAACCGCGUCGAUUGACCAGGUAAACCAGCUCUACCAUAAUGCCUCAUCAUAGAAAUAAAAAGUGACUCCUGAAAAACUACCCCUUCAUCUUUCAUCCGCAGCAACAAUCCAUCAAUCAACUUAAACUCCCCGG